GGACACCCUCCUGCCCGAGCUCAGCUCCUCCCUUCAGGCUGGAGAUGACUGGCUAACUGUGAGUCAUGGCUUUCUCAGAGGGAGGCAGGAGGAGGCAGCGCUGACAGAGGCCCAGCCAACAACUGCCCCUUCCUGAAGGACAGUCUAACCUCCGAGGCAGCAGGCAGAAGGCAGUGCUGACUGGCAGAGCGGAAGGCCCUCCAGGAGGAAGGGGGUGUCAGGCCUCAGGCCGUCUGGCUGGAGGCCAUGAGUGGCUGCCUGCUGACCCAUGUCUCUGAGUGACUUCCCAGCAGCGAGCCAGAUCACUCUCCUUCAGUUUCAGCCUUUCAAGACACAUGUCCUGGACCCUGACGCCCUAGGGACUUCUGGGAAUAGCCUUUUGUAGCCUGUCUGCUGAGCCAAAUGGGAAACUGAGGUCCAGGGCUUGAACAGGUGGGCCUGGUGUGAGAAGUGCAGACAGGCGGUUGGGCUCCAGCCGGUGCCUUGAAGAUGGAGACAAAAGAAAAGCUGAGGGCUGGGGCACAGGCACAAACGACCAAGCUUGGCUUUUUAACGAGGUGCUGAGGAUCCAAACACCUUCAUGCUCGAACAGCAAGCACGUUACCAACUGAGUUAUCUCCCUAGCCCCAUGGGCCUGCCUUUAAGCCAGCCUGGUCUGCAAAGUGAGUCCAAGAUACACAGAGAAACCCUGACUUGGAAAACAACAACCAAAGCAAAUAUCCCCAGUGUGCAGAAACAGACGGACAUCAAUUCUCCACAGGAGCCACCCGCCUCAGCUAGAAAGCCAGACCUGGUCUGAGGUGAUCAGCAUUCCCCCAAAAGCCAUGCCAGCUGCUGCCAACUGCUCCACACUUGUGCCCCACCUGUGCUGCCCCUCCCCAGUUCUUGUCCUGAGGUUUGUGUGGCAGCUGAUCAGA